AGCUGAACCAGGAGAAAAUAAUCUUGCAAGACCUACUUGGAGCUGAUUUUUCUGAGGAGAGCUGUUUGUUUGUGAGCCCAGGCUGCACAGAGGUCUGGAGGUCUCACUAAGGUAGGGUAGAUAUCUAUACAAGUCACCCAGUGAGGUAGGAGGAAGGCAAGGAUCCCCAGGUCUGCUGUCGUUUAUCCUGGCCUUCCUCCUAGGCCUCUUGCCAUUCUCCGUAUCUGCACUUUGGUCUGUACAAAUCCACCGUUGUCAACAUCCCAGAAAUACUGCUACAAAUUUUCCCCUACAGCCAGACAGCUGAGCAGGAUUUCAGGAUGUGUUUCCUCAGUUACAGACUCCUCCUUCUAUAUACAGCAUAGAAUGAAACAGGGAGCAUGCAAGAGGCCUAUAUAGCUUUAAUGGACUCUGCUUUAUUACUGAGUUGCAUUAUCCAAGCUUCCCAGCUGGAACAGGCAAUUUCGGUUCAUUGAAGUCAAUGGAGACUUUGCUUUGUGAAGACAUCUAAAACUCCCAGUGAGAAGUUACCUGAAUCUGGCCACGUUUGAGAUCACUGUGCAAUGAAGAUGCAAAAUGAGAAGAUGGAAAAGGAAGAAGAGACCACCAGAUCAGAAUCCACAGCAACUUAGAAGUGGUUAAUCGGCAGCAUAAGGCAUUUGUGAUUCUUUACUCAUUUCCUUCAGAUCUUAAAACAGUGGAAAAUCUGUUAAACAAAACUCUCCUGGUUGAUACUAUUAACACGAUUUCUAUGGGCUCAGUGGAAAAUUCUAGAUACAGAAAAAACUGACAGCCGGGGGAACCUGGUUCCAAAAGGCUCCCAUGAUGCCACCUGGGGAGCAACAGAGUGAGUGCAGGGAUGACUAAUGAAAUGUGUCCAAGGACACUGGAAGCAAACGUGGCUUCUUCACAUAGGAGCAGAUGAUAUAGUGAGGAUGAAACAGAUGACCACAAAUAAGAAUGGUCUGAGACAGUGGGAAACAGUUUUGAAGGAAAACAGAGAGAUCUAGCUAUAAACCAGAUGGGAAAAGCAAAAACAAGUGAAGGUACCAGUGAGAAUACCAGGUUACUGGUCAAACUGACAUGGAAGAAAUUGAUUCAGAAAGGAAAAGCUUUUAAAGGGGAAAGUAUCUUCUUUCUGCUAUGUCCAGUAUGACUAAAUGAAAUAAACUCAGGCAUUUCUGAUCUUCCUUUCAAUAGAAACUCUCCAAGGCUUCUCUGGCCUCUGCAGGCAAUCACUUUAGGCUCUGAAGCAUGAGAUAUGAUUACCAUUAUAAUUAUCUUAGCUUGUAUUGAUAUGAAUGUUACUAAUGGUCAUAAAAUUAUCCAGCGUGGGCUCCCCUUUUCCCUUCCUUUUAGCCAGCCUCCAUGUUAGUGUCCUUAACUUCAGGGCUGUGAAUUUCUGAAGGGAGUACAUGCUGCAAAAGUCACUUCACUCCUCAGAUUCGUUCUAAAUAUACAGCUUUUUACAAUCCCCAGCCCACAGCUUCCCUUGGGUUUCUAAAGGAUUUCAAAUAAUGAAAAGUGAAUUGGGAAAUGAACUAUUGUUACGGGUGAAUUUUAUCAGAUAGUUUUAUGGAAAUUGCUGGAUUAUUUAUAUAUACUGUAAUUGUAACACGAAUCACUAAAUACAUUUGAACACUAAAUGUACUGCUUAUUAAUUUACAUUUUAAGAGUCCCCUUGUUCUUGCAUUAUGUGACAAUAUAAAAAGCACAGACUGAUUAGUUUUCACUAUUUCUCAGAUAAUUACGAAUACCUUAAUCAAGUCUCUUCUAGUUCCUUUUUAAAAUAAUUUAAAAAAAAAUAUUUCAG
ensembl:lncRNA